rnacentral:lncRNA from 10 species
CUGUAAGCUAAGCCAGCCUGCAUACAUGGUUCCCGGCACAAAGUCUACACACCAGUGAACACGUUCUUGGGUGGAUGCUGGAUGCUGAUGGCAGGGCUUCAUUUGAUGUUGGUGAAGUCAGUUCUACCCUGAACCUCAACAACUUGAAAUCAUAAGCAGUAAAUAGGCAGACACAGAUGGAGAUCUAGAGUUUCACUCUUAUUGCCCAGGCUGGAGUACAAUGGCGCAAUCUCAGCUCACUGCAACCUCCACCUCCUGGGUUCAAGCAAUUCUCCUGCCUCAGCCUCCCGAGUAGCUGGGAUUACAAGCACCUGCCAUGACAGCUGGCUAAUUUUGUAUUUUUAGUAGAGAUGGGGUUUCACUAUGUUGGCCAGGCUGGUCUCGAACUCCUGACCUCAGGUGAUCCACCCAGCUGGGUCUCCCAAAGUGCUGGGAUUACAGGUGUGAGCCACCGCUUCCGGCUAUGACUGGUGUCUUUAUAAGAAGCAGAAGACACAGAGACAGGGAGAAGAUGGCCAUGUGAAGACACAGGCAGGUGAAGACUGGAGUUAUACUAGCACAAGCCAAGGCACACCAGGAGCCACCGGAAGCUGAAUGAGGCAAGGAAGGAUUCCUAGAGCCUUUGGAAGAAGCAUGACUCUUCCAACCCUUGACUUGGGACUUCUGGCCUCUGGAACUAUGAGAAAAUAAAUACAUCUUAAAAAUUG